UUCGGGGAGAACCAGCUAGC
rnacentral:snRNA from 1 species